rnacentral:lncRNA from 1 species
GGUCCCAUAGCUGGGUGCACCUGGUCUGUGCACCCAGCUGUGACGGGGACAGAGGUGUCCUUGCUAGACAGUCCCCCACCUGAGGGGACGGCUCUGUCCCUGCAGGUCUGAGGGCGGAGACAGCCCUGUGGGCCCCGAGCUCCUGCCUCCUCAGGGACUUGGAAAGGUCCCAAGAGCUCCUCUCACUCCCUCCGCCGUCCGACCCCAUCAGGAAACAAGCAGGACACCCAGGGGACUCGCCCACAGACUCACAGCAAGUCAGGGGCAGAGCCUGGCACAGCCAGGGGACCAGCCAGUCUGGCCUCUCUGAUCAAGUUCUAGGUCGGGAUCUUGGUUCCACGGUUUCACAGACCCAGGGCUGGGCAAUUCCGGGCCAGUUCCUCACCCUCUCUGUCCCUGUCCCGAUCUGUCUUCAGAGUGUGCAGGUCACGCGGGAUUCGGAGCCGCCCUAAUCCCCCUUUAAAGAGCCUCCUCCCAAUCCAGUGGCAUCCUUCCCUCCCCGGGGGUCAGGGCCCCAGCUGAUGAAUUCUGAAGGACAUGGUCCAGCUGGUGACAGUCCCACACCCCCCACCUGCCUCAGUCCACGGGACCUGGGUUUCAGCCACUUGACUCACAAAGGUCCCACCUCAGUUUCCCGCGGUCAGCUGGGCUCCACCCGACCACUGUGGCCCCAGCCCGCCGACUCCCCAGGCCACACGCCUCCCCCGCUCUGGCCCCAGGGGACGGUCACAGAGCAGGUGCUUCCAGGAAGGACACACGAGAAAGAGGCCAGGCCAGGGAGGAGGCUGGACACAGCUCGCAGCUGCCCCCGCGGGACCUCUGUGCCACCUCCACCCGGUGAGCUGAGGGCAGGGGUCCCUGGGGGCUUGGGCUGGUUCUCCAGAGCUGGACUCCUUCAGCAGAGUGUCCCGGCCAGCGGUCCAGCACUCAAUCAGAUCCCCGAGGUCAGCAGCUGGUCAGGACAAGGGUUUAUUUUGAUCCUAGUUUCAGAGCCUGCAGCCCACGCGCCUGGCCCACUGACCUGGGUCUGCAGCCGGACGGUGCGUCUGGGCGGGACGGGG